rnacentral:rRNA from 1 species
GGUGAACGCUGGCGGCGUGCUUAAGACAUGCAAGUCGAACGGCAGUCUUCGGACUGUAGUAGCGCACGGAUGAGUAACGCGUAACUGACCUACCCAAAAGUCGCGGAUAACGAUUCGGAAGAAUCGCCAAUACGUGAUGUCCUGUCAGAGUGUGUUCGGCAAGUAAAGAGUGAUUGCUUUGUGAUGGGGUUGCGUUGCAUCAGCUAGUUGGUGGGGUAAAGGCCCACCAAGGCGACGACGGAGAGCCGGCCUGAGAGGGAGGCCGGGCACAGGGGCACUGAGACACGGGUCCCACUCCUACGGGAGGCAGCAGUUAGGAAUCUUCCACAAUGGGCGAAAGACUGAUGGAGCGACGCCGCGUGAGGUAUGAAGGUCUUCGGAUCGUACCCCUCUGAAUCAGGGACGAAAGACACUUCGGUGGGAUGCCGGUACCUGAGUAAUAGCACCGGCUAACUCCGUGCCAGCCGCCGCCGUAACAC